CGGAGAGGUGGCAGAGUGGUCGAAUGCGCUCGACUUGAAAUCGAGUGUGGCAGUGAUGUCACCGUGGGUUCAAAUCCCACCCUCUCCGU
rnacentral:tRNA from 1 species